UACAGAGGUCUCAAGCGUUGUUCGGAUUCAUUGGGCGUAAAGGGUGCGUAGGCGGCGCGGUAAGUCGGGUGUGAAAUCUCGGGGCUUAACUCCGAAACUGCAUUCGAUACUGCCGUGCUUGAGGACUGGAGAGGAGACUGGAAUUUACGGUGUAGCGGUGAAAUGCGUAGAUAUCGUAAGGAAGACCAGUGGCGAAGGCGGGUCUCUGGACAGUAACUGACGCUGAGGAGCGAAAGCGUGGGGAGCGAACA
rnacentral:rRNA from 1 species